ACGCUCGACACCUACGGGAGGUAGCAGUGGGGAAUAUUGCACAAUGGGGGAAACCCUGAUGCAGCGACGCCGCGUGAGUGAAGAAGUAUUUCGGUAUGUAAAGCUCUAUCAGCAGGGAAGAAGAUGACGGUACCUGAGUAAGAAGCCCCGGCUAACUACGUGCUAGCAGCCGCGGUAAUCUGAGCGGGCUGGCAAGGC
rnacentral:rRNA from 1 species